CUUAACUCAGUUGGAUAGAGUAUCGGUCUUCUAAACCGUUGGUCACAAGUUCGAAUCUUGUAG
rnacentral:tRNA from 1 species